AAAGUCAAAACAAAGCAAACGACGAGAGCUGUUAAAACGAAAGUCAAAAGCUCUUCAGCUCAGUCUCGCACCAUGAUCAAGACCUCGUCUCCUUCCCUCACACACCCACCUCCAUUUCCAGUGCCUCUCUUUGAAUAAUCGUGUCCAUUCUAUUUCUCAUUCUCCUCAUUCGAUUUUGUGGUUUAUAAAUUUCAUGCAAAGUGCUUUGUGAAAAUGAUGGAGGACGACGAGUACUGGGCUUGGGAUUCCUUCUAUUCAGAUUGGAGCACCUUCUACAGUGGGUCUCAUGAUUCAGCUCCUCAUUGGAAGUACGAUGUGUUUUUGAGUUUCAGGGGCGAAGACACGCGAACCAGUUUCACUGACCAUCUUUACCAAAAAUUGGUGUGGCGAGGAAUCAAAACUUUCAGGGAUGACCCAGAAAUUGAAAGGGGGUCAACUAUUUCUGCAGAGCUCUCGGCAGCCAUUAAAGAUUCAAGGUUCGCAGUCAUUGUUCUCUCCCCAAACUACGCUUCUUCCACUUGGUGCUUGGAUGAACUUGAAAUGAUUAAUCAAUCGCGUGGAAUCUCCAGACGUUUGCCGGUCUUCUAUCAUGUUGAUCCUUCUGAUGUUCGAAGACAAACUGGCCCUUUCGCCCAAGCCUUCACUAAACAUGAACAUGACUUCAAGGCAUACCCGAAGAAGGUGCGUUGGUGGAGAGAGGCUUUGACAAGUGUGAGUAAUGUUGCUGGAUGGACUACUUCUAAGUAUAGGUAUGAAACAGAGCUUAUCAAAGAAAUUGUAGAUGUAAUAGGGGAGAAAGUGUAUCCUACGUUCACAUUGUCAGAUUCGACAGAGAACUUGUUUGGAAUUGAUUUUAGAUUACAGUACAUAGAUUUGCUUUUAUAUACUAGCGUAACUGAUGUUCGCUUUUUGGGGAUAUGGGGGAUGGGUGGGGUGGGUAAAACAACGAUUGCUAGAUUAGUUUAUGAGAGAAUUUCCCAUAAGUAUGAGGUUAGCUACUUUCUUGCUAAUGUCAGACAGCAAUCUGCCGAACAUGGUAUAGUUCAUCUGCAAAAACAACUUAUUUCCCUUGUAUUGGAGGAAAGAGUUGCACAAGUUUGUGAUGCUUAUGGUGGAGCUGCAAUGACCAAGAAUUUAUUAUGUAAUAAAAAGGUUCUUCUUGUUCUGGAUGAUGUGGAUCAAUUGAACCAACUUGAAAUGCUUGCCGGAACUAAAGACUGGUUUGGUCCGGGGAGCAGAAUUAUCAUCACAACAAGAGAUGAACGUCUGCUGAUUGAACAUGGUAUAGAGAAACCGUACGAGCUCCAGGGUUUAAAUGACAAUCAAGCUCUUCAGCUCUUUUCAUGGAAAGCCUUCAAAAAAUAUCAUCCAGAAGAAGAUUAUUUGGAACUGUCCAAAUGUUUCGUGGAUUAUGCGGGAGGUCUUCCAUUAGCUCUUAGAACUCUUGGAUCUUCUUUGUAUAAAAGAGGUCGAGAUGCCUGGAUCAGUACAUUGGAUAAACUCAAGAAAGCUCCUAAUAAGACAAUCUUUGAGACUCUCAAGAUAAGUUACGAUGGACUGGAUGAUAUGGAAAAGAGAAUUUUUCUCAAUGUUGCAUGCUUUCAUAAGGGUGGCUACAAGGAGCGAGUAAUUGAAAUACUGGAUAGUUGUGGCUUUCCAGCUUGUAUUGUGAUAGAUAUUCUGGUUGAGAAAUCUCUCUUAACUAUUUUUGACGACUAUGUCAUGAUGCAUGAUCUGAUACAAGAAAUGGGACGGGAUAUUGUUCGUCAAGAAUCUUAUGAGGAACCUGGGCAACGUAGUCGAUUGUGGCUUGAUAAAGACAUCUUUCAUGUAUUUUCGAAGAAUACAGGAACUGAAGCAAUUGAAGGAAUAGUCCUAUACUUGCCUGAAUUUGAACAAGCAUGCUUGAAUCCUGAAACUUUCUCCAAGAUGUCUAGACUAAAGUUGCUCCAAAUUCAUAAUCUGAACCUAUCUCCAGGCCCAAAAUAUCUGUCUAAUUCCUUGAGAUUUCUGGAAUGGAGUUUGUAUCCUUCAAAAUCUCUCCCACCAACUUUUCAACCAGAUGGUCUUACUGAACUUAAUUUGCGUCAUAGCAAAGUUGAUCGGCUUUGGAAUGGGAAAAAGCACUUGGGUAACUUGAAGUAUAUUGACCUUAGUUUCUCUGAAAAUUUGAUCAAGACCCCAGAUUUCACUGGUAUUCCGAAUCUUGAAAGGUUGGUUCUUGAAAGUUGCACGAAUGUAGUUGAGAUUCACUCAUCUAUUGCAUUUCUCAAAAAGCUUAAAAUUUUGAAUUUCACAAACUGUAAAAGUAUCAGAAGUCUUCCAAGUGAGAUAGAAAUGGAAUCUCUUGAAGUUUGUAUACUUUCGGGAUGCUCAAAAUUGAAAAGCAUUCCAGAAUUUUUGGGACCAAUGAAAAAUUUAUCAAUGCUUUCUUCGGAUGGGACAGCUAUUGAGCAAUUACAUCCAUCAUUUGAAUGUUUGGUUGGCCUUAUUUCACUAGAUCUAAGAGAUUGCAAAAGUUUAUUGUGUCUUCCGAGUGUCCUCUGUCGCAUGAAAUCUCUUAGAAGUCUCAAUAUGUCUGGAUGCUCACAACUGUGCAAAUUCCCUGAUAGUGUAGGGCAGAUUGAAUGCUUGAAAGAGUUAGAUCUUAGUGGAACUGCAUUAAGCGAGCUUCCAUCCUCCAUUGUUCUGAUGAAAAAUCUGGAAGUAUUGUCUUUUCGUGGAUGUAAAGGGCCACCACCUAAAUCAUGGCAUUUGUUUCCCCCUUUUGGCUCAUUUCAAAGAAAUAGUCCCGAGCCUGCGGGUCUAGUGAUGGCUUCUUUAAAUAAUUUGCAUUCAGUGAGGAAACUGGAUUUAAGCAACUGCAGUUUUGGUGAAGGAGCAAUCCCAGAUGAUAUUGGCUGUUUGUCCUCUUUAGAAGAAUUAAAUCUUGGGGGAAACAAUUUUAUCAGCCUUCCUGCAAGCAUCAGAUGGCUCUCUCAGCUUAUUUUAUUAAACUUGGAGGGCUGCAAAAAGCUUCAGCGGUUGCCUGACCUCCCAUCAAAUGAAGAAUUAACUAUAACAAUUGACGAUUGUACUUCCUUGGAAAUGUUGCCUGAUCCACCAAAGUUGAGCAGAUUGAGGUGGUUUUCUUUUAGAUGUGUCAAUUGUUACAAAUUGGUUGGCAGUGAAGACAGCACUAAUAGACCAUUUUCAAUGUUAAAGCGAUUCCUGCAGGGAACCCCUCCUUUUAUUGUUCACAGUUUCAAUAUUGUUACUCCUGGAAGCGAAAUUCCUGAGUGGUUCAGUAAUCAAACUGUGGGAGAUUCAGUUGUUGUGCAACUACCUGCUCGACCAAGUGAUAACAAGUCAGUGGGGUUUGCUCUAUGUGUUGUCUUUGAAGCUGAAGAAAAUCCAACUGCCGUUGAACUCAAUUAUAUACGAAGUCAUGCAUGUGGAAUUAAAUGUCUUUCCAAAGUAGAAGGAUCUUUGUCAACCUCUUUACUUGUAAAAGGGCUUUUUCAUCAUAAAGUAGGCCAGGUUAUGUCAGAUCACCUUUGGUUACUCUAUGCAUCUUUCAAAGACUAUGAUCCUAGAAAUUAUUGGAAAGGAGUAUUCUAUGAGAUUGAGUUUUCAUUUAAAACCUUUUGUUCUAUGGAAAACAACAAGUGUUUGAAGCUGAAGAAGUGUGGGGUCCGUGUGGUGGACAAGCAAGAUGUGGUAGAUCUUAACAAAACAAUGAACCAAUCCAACAGCAGCUUUUAUCUCGACAAGGCUAUGUAUGACCUCCAUUGUGAUCUUGACAAGUCAGCAAGUGUUCAAUGUGCUGAAGUUGGGCAAACAAUUGAACAUUCUGAUAAGGCAGGACCAAGUGGAAGUGGUAUCUCUGACAUGGAAUCACUCAGCAAAAGAUUGAAACACGAGUAACUGUCUUGUACCUGAUUGAAUCAUGCAAUGCCUCGACUUGAAAGGGCUACCUCGCACAUUAAUUCAAGUUGACCAUACCUAUCUUUUUGCAUCUUGCGCUUCACAUUUGGUGAUGCACAAGUGAAUGGAUCCACUCCUAUGUAUACAACCUCUUGUGCUAUGUUGUCAGAAGAUCUGCUUAAAUAGUAAUAGAAUCACGUAGAAGGCUGCACUUAAUUGAGGAUCUCCUUGACAGAGCUUUGCAAUCUGUGAUAUCAGUACUGGAUGCCAGCUGAGGGUGUGACGCCCAGCCUUUUUGUUUGGUUGGAACAUCCGUCUGUAAGCUCAGAGCAGAUAUUUGUUCAGCUGGAUGAGAGCUAACCAUGAGGAAAGAUAUUCGAGACAUAUGCUUACCUUCUCUAGCUGGCCAUGACUACCAAUGGAGACUCUUGCAAGAAACUCCCUGAGCUGAAAGAAUGUGGGCUUACUUCAGUGCAAGUCUAGUUUAGACGCCUUGGUUCCUGCAAAGUUUGAAUUUAUGACCAGCGUAGAGGGGCAUGAUAGGGUUAUGAAAGCAACUAAUGCUGCUGUAGACCUCUGAUAAAGUCCUGUUAAA